rnacentral:rRNA from 1 species
GACGAACGCUGGCGGCGUGCCUAAUACAUGCAAGUUGAGCGCUGAAGGUUGGUACUUGUACCAACUGGAUGAGCAGCGAACGGGUGAGUAACGCGUGGGGAAUCUGCCUUUGAGCGGGGGACAACAUUUGGAAACGAAUGCUAAUACCGCAUAAAAACUUUAAACACAAGUUUUAAGUUUGAAAGAUGCAAUUGCAUCACUCAAAGAUGAUCCCGCGUUGUAUUAGCUAGUUGGUGAGGUAAAGGCUCACCAAGGCGAUGAUACAUAGCCGACCUGAGAGGGUGAUCGGCCACAAUGGGACUGGGACACGGCCCAAACUCCUACGGGAGGCAGCAGUAGGGAAUCUUCGGCCAUUGACGAAAGUCUGGACGAGCAACGCCGCGGGAGUGAAGAAGGGUUUCGGAUCGGAAAACUCUGUUGGUAGAGAAGAACGUUGGUGAGAGUGGAAAGCUCAUCAAGUGACGGUAACUACCCAGAAAGGGACGGCUAACUACGUG